UACGUAGGGGGCUAGCGUUGUCCGGAUUUAUUGGGCGUAAAGCGUGCGCAGGCGGCUUCGCAAGUCAGACGUGAAAUCCCCGGGCUUAACCUGGGAAUGGCGUUUGAAACUACGGAGCUGGAGUGUGGCAGAGGGAGGUAGAAUUCCACGUGUAGCGGUGAAAUGCGUAGAUAUGUGGAGGAAUACCGAUGGCGAAGGCAGCCUCCUGGGCCAACACUGACGCUCAUGCACGAAAGCGUGGGGAGCAAACAGG
rnacentral:rRNA from 1 species